rnacentral:rRNA from 1 species
AUUGAACGCUGGCGGCAGGCCUAACACAUGCAAGUCGAGCGGAGCGGCGGACGGGUGAGUACUGCCUAGGAAUCUACCUGGUAGUGAGGGAUACCUUCCGGACACGGGAGCUACUACCACAUACUAUCAAAUGAGCCUCGGUCGGAUUAGCUAGUUGGUCGGGUAAAGGCCUACCAAGGCGACGAUCCGUAACUGAUCUGAGAGGAUGAUCAGUCACACUGGAACUGAGACACGGUCCAGACUCCUACGGGAGGCAGCAGUGGGGAAUAUUGGGCAAUGGGCGAAAGCCUGAACCAGCCAUGCCGCGUGAGUGAAGAAGGUCUUCGGAUGGUAAAGCACUUUAAGUUGGGAGGCGGUACCUACAGAAUAAGCAACGGCUAACUUCGUGCCAGCAGCCGCGGUAAUUC